rnacentral:rRNA from 1 species
AGCGAACGCUGGCGGCAGGCUUAACACAUGCAAGUCGAACGCUCGUAGCAAUACGGGAGUGGCAGACGGGUGAGUAACGCGUGGGAAUAUGCCUUUUGGUUCGGAAUAACUCAGGGAAACUUGAGCUAAUACCGGAUAAGCCCGUGAGGGGAAAGAUUUAUCGCCAAAAGAUUAGGCCCGCGUCCGAUUAGCUAGUUGGUGAGGUAAUGGCUCACCAAGGCGACGAUCGGUAGCUGGUCUGAGAGGAUGAUCAGCCACAUUGGGACUGAGACACGGCCCAAACUCCUCCGGGAGGCAGCAGUGGGGAAUAUUGGACAAUGGGCGCAAGCCUGAUCCAGCCAUGCCGCGUGGGUGAUGAAGGCCUUAGGGUUGUAAAGCUCUUUUGUCCGGGAAGAUAAUGACGGUACCGGAAGAAUAAGCCCCGGCUAACUUCGUGCCAGCAGCCGCCGUAA